ACUCACACUGUACUUCCAGGGAGACAGCGACUAUGAGGAGACAAACUGAGGACUGGGGAACAAGCUGCAUAAGAAAGAAGUGUUGAGAGCUGCUCUUAACCCUUUUGGAGGCCUAAGUCAAAAGGGAACUAGAGGGCUUGACGCAUCCUUUACAUCCGGCAUUUACUCUGACCACAGUCCCUCCCUGUUCUCACAAGCGGAGCUCAGCCCUGCUUCCCUUCCUGUUGAUUCCCAGUCAGCUACAUGAC
rnacentral:lncRNA from 1 species